rnacentral:rRNA from 1 species
AAAGCGAAUAGUGAAAUCUGGGGGCUCAACCUCACAGGCUAUUAUUCGAACUCACUGACUCGAGAACAGCAGAGGUAACUGGAAUUUCUGAAGUAGGGGUAAUAUCCGUAGAUAUCAGAAGGAACACCAAUGGCGUAGGCAGUCUACUGGCUCAUUUCUGACACUAAGGCACGAAAGCGUGGGGAGCGAACGGGAUUAGAUACCCCGGUAGUCCACGCCGUAAACGAUGGAUGCUA